GGAGUAAAAUGAUUCUCCCUUUCCUGCGUCCAUCUCAUACAGUCUUUAGGGGGAAAAAAAGACAAAGGAGAGUGAACACAUUUGUCACGUGUUGGCCAUGAUUCCUUCUGCAUAGGGUCAUUUCUACAACUUCAUCCACUACCAGCGGGUCCCAGAAAUUUGCCACACAGGAGCAUCCAUCACCAAUAGGUCUGGAUAUUCCCACACCCUUCUCCCUGAUGAUUUCAAGAGAGAAAGUGAAGUGUCCCCCAUGGCACAAUUUUGUGUGGUCCAGUUCGAGAAUACCUCCUACUAUUUUGAAACCUGAACAACCUCCCUAGGAUCUUAGUACUGUUCAGCACACAGCCCGAAGGGCUGGCAUGCACCACAGCCACAUUUCAAUCACAGUCACCAUUUCCCCUUCAGACUGAAGCCCAUUAGCUGCUAAACUGGCUACUUCCUGGCUCUCAGCUGACGGAAGCACUUUGUUGGGAGUAUAAUCAAUCUUACUACAAAACUCUGGCUGGUACUCUUGCAGGUGAUUAAACAGUCACAUGGGAGAAAAAUGACACAAUUCAAGGGUUGCUCUUAACCGAGCUAGGACAUGAAAAAUGAAAAGUGUCACUAUAUUACUUAGACUCUCUUACAUCAUCAACCCCAAAAAAGAGACAUGAAAUGCAGCCCCUCUGUGAUGGACUUAUGCAUAAUUCAAAAGAUGAGCUGCCUUCAGUAGCAGAUCUCUGGGUCCAAGUCUGCUGAGAAUGCCAAGCAGCAUGAGCCUGAAGGGUUCUCAAGCAAUGAAAAGGGCAGAUCACUAACAGUGUGAGAAAAUGAAGAACAGGAAAGACUGAGGUUGAGAUCACACAUGGGAAGU